rnacentral:tmRNA from 1 species
GGGGGCGACUCGGCUUCGACUGCUAUAGUGUUCUUUUUAACUGCGAGGAGAGGAUGAUCGUUGGCCUCUUUAAUAAUCGGUCAAACAAUAGUUGAUGAAUCUUAUUCUGAAACUACUUACGCUCUAGCUGCCUAGUUGUAGUUAUUGUGUAAACAAGUCUGUCGGUUUUUUAAUCGGCUGCCUAUAGAGUCUGACUCCUUCUAAGAUUUUAUAGCCACCAGAAGGGCGAAGUUACAUUGUUGACAGGGUGUGGCGGGUUCUUACUGAAGACGGUUGGUUGUUCUAACCUACGUCCGUCUAAAACAGAAUAGGACUACCCUCGUAGACGUUCUGAGGAAAAUAUAGUUAGGACGCGGGUUCAAUUCCCGCCGCCUCCACUG